UUAAUGGAAUACUUGUGUUUUGCUGUCAAGUUUGCCUUUUACAAAGGGUCAGGAUUCUUGCUGCUAGCCUCAUUCCAGCUUAAUUUCACAUAAAACGAACAGCUUUCCUGCAACUGAAAGACAUCCUAUUGGGGCCACAGUUUCUUUGCGUUCUUCGACCAUGGACAAGAGUUACAAUGAACAUGUUCCGAAAGCAGCCGCUUGGCCUAUUGAGCACAGCCGGGUGCUGCGCAAUGUGUAGUCAGAGCACACCAUCCUCCAAGACUUCUCCCAGAGCAGCAGGAGCAUUCACCUGUAUUGGGAAAUUUCACAGAGACUGGA